rnacentral:rRNA from 1 species
ACGUACACUCCUACGGGAGGCAGCAGUGGGGAAUAUUGCACAAUGGGCGCAAGCCUGAUGCAGCCAUGCCGCGUGUAUGAAGAAGGCCUUCGGGUUGUAAAGUACUUUCAGCGGGGAGGAAGGCGAUAAGGUUAAUAACCUUGUUGAUUGACGUUACCCGCAGAAGAAGCACCGGCUAACUCCGUGCCAGCAGCCGCGGUAAUACGGAGGGUGCAAGCGUUAAUCGGAAUUACUGGGCGUAAAGCGCACGCAGGCGGUCUGUCAAGUCGGAUGUGAAAUCCCCGGGCUCAACCUGGGAACUGCAUUCGAAACUGGCAGGCUAGAGUCGUGUAGAGGGGGGUAGAAUUCCAGGUGUAGCGGUGAAAUGCGUAGAGAUCUGGAGGAAUACCGGUGGCGAAGGCGGCCCCCUGGACAAAGACUGACGCUCAGGUGCGAAAGCGUGGGGAGCAAACAGGAUUAGAAACCCCUGUAGUCCCA